GAUUGCUUAGUUUAAGAAAAAUGGGUGUUUUGAAAGCACUGGAUAAGAUAUAUUCUUAGUAAUCU
rnacentral:tRNA from 1 species